rnacentral:rRNA from 1 species
UACGUAGGGGGCAAGCGUUGUCCGGAUUUAUUGGGCGUAAAGAGCGUGUAGGCGGCCAGAUAGGUCAGCUGUGAAAACUCGAGGCUCAACCUCGAGAUGUCGGCUGAAACCAUCUGGCUAGAGUCCGGAAGAGGAGAAUGGAAUUCCCGGUGUAGCGGUGAAAUGCGUAGAUAUCUGGAGGAACAUCGGUGGCGAAGGCGGCAUCCUGGACCGGUAUUGACGCUGAGGCGCGAAAGCCAGGGGAGCAAACGGG